GGAGGCUACGUGCACACUGGAUUCGACCAGAUUCAAUUGUUCCUGCCUCCUGUCAUGGCUGCCGUCAUGUGAUGGUGCAAAGCCUCUGGAGCAUGUACGAGCCAGGAUGACGAGAGACCCCACUUCAAUACUGCGGAUGCAAAAAAAAAAACAUCACUCGAACAGCACAACGUACGAACACUUGUUUUCUACGAAAGUCCACUUAUAAAACCGUUCAGAACUGAACAUGAGGUACCAGGGUUGUCACUGCCAGUACAACAGUCAUCUGAUGCCCCGGCCAAGCAACCAAAUAAAGGGGUUUCUCAUGCCGCAGGAUUUCUUCAAUCAAAAAAGAUUUUAAAGGGAGCUAAUAAUUCCAACACAGCAGUAGCUCACGUCCUGUUGUCCUAAUUAGACCCCAGGGGCGUGGCCCAAUGAUAUGAUCCUAAGCUACUGAUAUCUAUUCAUACAUCCCCUGUGAUAUUUAUCGCCAACAGCCAAAUCAAUCACGCGAAACACUGCAUCUUUCUGCACUCGUACUACAAAUUAA